UUCAGUCCUACGAUCACUGCAACCACUACUCUCGACCAGACUGCAACUGCACUCCCAACCGGACUGCGAUCACCACCCUCGACUGGACUGCAACCAGCACUCUCACCAACAAGUUUUCCCUCUCCUUUUACGUUUUGGACUCAGGGGGACCAUGUGGGGCUCAGCAGGGAGAGGGUGGCCCAACGAACACUGCUCUGUUCAUGCCUCACAGUGCUUGGUUAUACAUCUGGGUUUUGUGGGUUAAAACCAACUGUUUGUCAGUUUAAUUGUAUUUAUUGUAUUAUUUUUAUUAAAUUGUUAUUCUGACUUA